UCAUUCAAAGUCAGCUAUCCUACUUCCACUGGAUUGGACUGUCCCGUAAAGGAACUGGAAGUUCCUGGACAUGGGAAGAUAAAUCACCACCUUUUCUCAAAAUUGAUUGGAAAGAGUCAGAGGUUGGAAACUGUGCGAGCUUAGCAGCAACGAGGAUGACGGUGGCUGACUGCUCCACAUUCAAGCUCUACAUUUGUGAGAAGUAGACUGCAGUCCUGCCCCAGGGAGAGAACUACAACCACAGAAGACCAUGCAAUAAUCUCCCCUUACAAAAAGCCAUGCUCUUGGAAGUCCCAGAGUCUCUCUCUCUCAUUUCAGAAUAUCUUUGCUUUAUUAUGGGCUGUACCAAUAUUCCAGCCUCUGACUGAGGUACGUCGGACCCUCCACUCCUGCCCCUUUCACAUGUAGACUGCCAAAUCACACAGGAGCACGGGUUAGUGGAGUGAGAAAGUGUCAGGGCUUCUGACGAGCAUUAGGAAGCAAAGUUCUGUAUGCUCGAUUUCUGCAACUCACACA